UCGCGCUCGUGGGCGACGCCGCCCACUGCGCGUCCCCUCUCGCGGGUCGGGGCGCGUCCCUGGCGCUGACCGGGGCUCAGUUCCUCGCUGAGGAGCUCGAAC
rnacentral:tRNA from 1 species